rnacentral:rRNA from 1 species
AAAAAAAGCUUCUAGCGAUAAGUAUACACUACCCGUACCGCAAACCGACACAGGUAGUCGAGGCGGGUAGCCUCAGGUGAGCGAGAGAACUCUCGUUAAGGAACUCGGCAAAAUGACCCCGUAACUUCGGGAGAAGGGGUGCUGACUUUUAGUCAGCCGCAGUGAAUAGGCCCAAGCAACUGUUUAUCAAAAACACAGCUCUCUGCUAAAUCGUAAGAUGAUGUAUAGGGGGUGACGCCUGCCCGGUGCUGGAAGGUUAAGAGGAGGGUUUAGCGUAAGCGAAGAUCUGAAUUGAAGCCCCAGUAAACGGCGGCCGUAACAAUAACGGUCCUAAGGUAGCGAAAUUCCUUGUCGGGUAAGUUCCGACCCGCACGAAAGGCGUAAUGAUUUGGGCACUGUCUCAACGAGAGACUCGGUGAAAUUUUAGUACCUGUGAAGAUGCAGGUUACCCGCGACAGGACGGAAAGACCCCCUGGAGCUUUACUGCAGUUUGAUAUUGAGUAUCUGUACCACAUGUACAGGAUAGGUAGGAGCCUAUGAAAUCGGGACGCCAGUUUCGAUUGAGGCGCUGUUGGGAUACUACCCUUGUGUUAUGGCUACUCUAACCCGGUAGGUUAAUCAUCUACGGAGACAGUGUCUGACGGGCAGUUUGACUGGGGCGGUCGCCUCCUAAGAGGUAACGGAGGCGCCCAAAGGUUCCCUCAGAAUGGUUGGAAAUCAUUCGCAGAGUGUAAAGGUAUAAGGGAGCUUGACUGCGAGAGCUACAACUCGAGCAGGGACGAAAGUCGGGCUUAGUGAUCCGGUGGUUCCGUAUGGAAGGGCCAUCGCUCAACGGAUAAAAGCUACCCUGGGGAUAACAGGCUUAUCUCCCCCAAGAGUUCACAUCGACGGGGAGGUUUGGCACCUCGAUGUCGGCUCGUCGCAUCCUGGGGCUGUAGUCGGUCCCAAGGGUUGGGCUGUUCGCCCAUUAAAGCGGCACGCGAGCUGGGUUCAGAACGUCGUGAGACAGUUCGGUCCCUAUCCGUCGCGGGCGUAGGAAAUUUGAGAGGAUCUGCUCCUAGUACGAGAGGACCAGAGUGGACUUACCGCUGGUGUACCAGUUGUCUCGCCAGAGGCAUCGCUGGGUAGCUAUGUAGGGAAGGGAUAAACGCUGAAAGCAUCUAAGUGUGAAACCCACCUCAAGAUGAGAUUUCCCAUAACAUUAAGUUAGUAAGAGCCCUGAGAGAAGAUCAGGUAGAUAGGUUGGAAGUGGAAGUGUGGCGACACAUGUAGCGGACCAAUACUAAUCGCUCGAGGACUUAUCC